CACCACUAAAGACUGGCCAAGCACGCAGCCACUGUGCCGGUCCGGGGAGGUCAGACGUGAAGAAGACACGGUUCCUUGAGCUCAGAAGUUCAGGGUCCAGAGGAGCAAACAGGCACGUAAAGGGAGAGUCACACUACAGCCUCGAACUGGUGCAGUACGAGCUAACACGGGCUCGGCUGGACACAGGGCCCUUCCUCCUCCCUGAAGCCGGCCAGGCUUCCCCGAGGGGGGCUGCGCACGGGUGGGGUGGGAUGUGAGAGGACGGGAUCGAGCGCUCCGAAUGCGAGGCCGAACGUCACACGAUCGUGAGCCAAUGGUUCCUGAAAUUCGCGUUGAUGUGCAAGUGCUCUGGAUGACAAGUAUGUUUCUGGAACGAAUUAUGUUCGCACACCAAGGUUUCACUGUACAAGGAAUUCAAAUUCAAACCGGUCGCCGAAAGCCACGCUCUCUUCUGACGUCAUAAGCUGGUGUUCUCCAGGACGACAAGGAGGGAGUCCGCUCCAGGGUGAGGCACGACCCUGAGACCCGCGAGGGAAGUAGCAACUCGUGCCUUGUUUGUUUGCUUGCUUCUGUGUUGUCGUGGUGGAGGUUCGAAUCCGGGCUGUCGGUGGAGGAGGUGCGGCCGGAGAAGAUUCAGGAGCAAAGGGAGCAAGAAUCACGAGCCCAUUUUGUGGAUGAGGAAACCAAGGCCCCGUGAAGCUGAGUCGAAGGCUCAAAGUCACACAGCCAGAAAUGAAGUCCCGAAGGCGUCUCAGAACUCCACGGCUCGAUACAUUCUGAGUGGACUUGGAGGUUCCCAGCUCGUGGAGAGCUGCAUCAUCCUAGAAGCGAAGGCCACAAGAGCUGAGCUCCCUUCUGUCAUGGCCGCACCGUCCUCUUGGCCUAGAGUAGCGUCUGGGGUGGAGGCGGUGCUCAGUACGUGUCUGUUUCCGCCUCGGAGGCGCGCCAGCGCGAGCGCGCACGCGCAGACCGGUCUUCGGUGCUUCCGCUAAGUAGCUAGGUGCUUACGCAGCAAGUCCCGGUGGUAUUGCCCAUUGCGGGGUGCUGGUCCUCGCGUUGGGGGCUGAUCAAAGGCCUGCACGUCCCCACAGGAAGUGGGAGGCAGUACGGCACCCCCGGACGCUCUUUUGUAACUAGCAAAGGGCCUCCAGGGGGCCGCGUUUCCUGCUGCGUAGAUUCUGACGUGCGCUCUGGGCAGGGACGCCACAGAGGCAAGGCUGUGACCCUCUCAGAGCGUCGCGUCGGGGGCACACGCUGUCGAUGCCCAGUACUGGCGAUGUCGGUCUUGAUCGCGGCGCUCUGGCAGAACCCACUACAGAGUUACUAAGGUUACUUGGUACUUGUAACGAAGAUACUUGAUAGGCGUCCUCCGGAGAGAUACUUUGAGGUUCCAAAGACACCCCAGGAUUCUUCCUCAAACUUUCACCCCUUGGUUUUGGCAUCUACUAAUCACCCUUCCCCGAAUCAAUUAUUAUCGUGCUGGCCAGACGGUGUGUUUAAAAGAAUUCCAUCACUGGGGCGCCUGGGUGGCUUAGUCAGUUAAGCAUCUGACUCUCAGUUUCCGCUCAGGUCAGGAUCUCACGGUUUCACGAGUCUGAGCCCCACAUCGGGCUCUGUGCAGACGGCACAGAGCCUGCUUGGGAUAUUCUCUCUCUCUCUGCGCCCCUCCCCUGCUCACGCUCUCUCUCAAAAAUAAAU
ensembl:lncRNA